rnacentral:rRNA from 1 species
AUUGAACGCUGGCGGCAUGCUUUACACAUGCAAGUCGAACGGUAACAGGCCGCAAGGUGCUGACGAGUGGCGAACGGGUGAGUAAUGCAUCGGAACGUGCCCAGUCGUGGAGGAUAACUACUCGAAAGAGUAGCUAAUACCGCAUACGAUCUAUGGAUGAAAGCGGGGGACCGUAAGGCCUCGCGCGAUUGGAGCGGCCGAUGUCAGAUUAGGUAGUUGGUGGGGUAAAGGCUCACCAAGCCAACGAUCUGUAGCUGGUCUGAGAGGACGACCAGCCACACUGGGAUUGAGACACGGCCCAGACUCCUACGGGAGGCAGCAGUGGGGAAUUUUGGACAAUGGGCGCAAGCCUGAUCCAGCAAUGCCGCGUGCAGGAAGAAGGCCUUCGGGUUGUAAACUGCUUUUGUACGGAACGAAACGGCUCUGGUUAAUACCCGGGGCUAAUGACGGUACCGUAAGAAUAAGCACCGGCUAACUACGUG